UGUGUGUGUAGUUUAUUUGUAUAUUUACCUUAAAACAAGAUUUUAAUAUAUAACGUGAAGUGCCAAGUAAUCUGGUUUACAGGUUAAUUCAGUCUGAAAACAGCUGCACAUCUUGAAAGGAACUCACACGGAGAGUCAAUGGAAGCCAAGUUUGCAAAAAUCAUCUUAUGAUACAGUGAUUAAUACUGUCUGUAAAAAAGUUUAGAUGUGGAUAUGCGCCCCAGGAACUUUUUCUUUUAAAGUAAAAAUGGGUCACAGAUCGCUGCUUUGCAAGAUAUACCUCUAUUAUAUCGCUGGUUUUAUUGACUAGUUCUUAAUCCCGAGGUUUACACCUGGGAUAAGCAUGCUUUAGGCAUUUGUGAAUGACACAGUCAACAACUGAGCUGUGAGCUGAGUGAGGGCACAGGCUGUAAUUCUUUUCAUGUUAAUGACAGUAAUGGAAGUCUGAUACAUAAGCAGUAUGCAUUCAAAACAUUGACACCUGAUAGUAGGUCAGGGAAAAGAGAACAGGGACUCCAGCUUAAGUUUAAGGGAGGAAAAACUGAGGAGUCCUAACUACCCCAAAGAUGUGAAGGAAACCGCAAAAGACAUGGACCUGCUUCUGCUGUAAAAAAGGAAACGAAUCACUCCCUUGGGGAUGAUACACCAGCAGUUUCAGCACAUUGUAGUCCUGCCUCUUUCAGGGUUUUAACUGAUUUAAUUUCAUGGAAAAGUAGCCAUCUCCAAACAAAAAGAAUGCCAUUUACCAAAACAAAGAGGCC